GCAGUCGUCCGACUGCCUCAGCUGCCAGUCCGUCGCGGCCAGGAACCUCACCAUCGGCCGCCGCCAUUACCGGAAGCAUCUCCUCUGUGCAGUUAUACAGAUCCCGGUUUAUUCGCGAGAUCUUGAAGUGUAUACUGGAAAAACCUCGCUAUGUCACCGUGGACCGUGUUCAAAGGAGAAGAAGCCAAUCCAGAUUCGUAUCUACAAAGUGAUGAUCCCGCCGGAGAUUCUGAGUUUGGAAACGAGAGCUACGCCGACCACGACGCCUUCCUGGACCUGCAUCGAGAGAUCCUUGAUCCGUGCUUCGCUGGGACGGAUCUCAAAACACAUCAAAGGUGCCGUCAUGGUGAGGCCCCUCAGAGGAAGGUAGCAUUCAACAUGGCUGCUACAGGGAGAAGAUUUCUUGGGUGCCUUCGGCAGGCAUCUGUAUCGCAAUGUCCCUGUGGAGCCAAUCUCGAAUGUGGCAAGUGGUGAAGAUUCUUGGAUUCUGAGCUUGUUUCCGAGGGAGGCAUGUUCCGAGGCAAAGGUCACCAGAUGGAAUCUUUACUUCCUGGGUGCGGGACCAGGGGAGCAAAGAACCGGGUUGCACAUGGGGAAGGCAUCUUUCUGAGGUAAGGGUCACGAGAAGGAAUCUUUGCCUGUUUCCUAAAGUAGUGCUGAACAGACUUUGAUAUAGAACUUCAUAAUCGCGUUGGUCAGUACUAUACGGAUAGACUGCUGGUCCAUCCGUAUAAUCGCGUUGGUCAGUCUCAUGGUGAUAACAAAAGUUUAAUUUGUAAAUGGGAAUAACACAUUGAUCAAUAUUACAUAGCUAUUUGGAUUGAGAAGAACAACCUGCAGAUUGCAUUUGAACAGACAUAGCACGAGCUGAAGACGAGGGAGCUCAAGCUGAAGGAAGUGAUCUGGAACAACUCCGUGUAGCUGUUACUCUGUUUGCAAUACUCGUGUUCGUUCUUCUAAAAAGCUCAUGAGACUGAUUGUAUUAUAGAAUUUCGAUAAAACAUGUAUAUUUCUUCAGAUGUUUCAUUGUACCUAUUUCAAGGUCAACAAGUUUACCUCUAGCUAACAAUAAAUUCCCAGCCAUGUUUUUGAUA